UUGAACGCUGGCGGCAGGCCUAACACAUGCAAGUCGAGCGGGGGUAGCAAUACCCUAGCGGCGAACGGGUGAGGAAUGCUUGGGAAUCUGCCUCGUAGUGGGGGAUAACGUUCCGAAAGGAACGCUAAUACCGCAUACGUCCUACGGGAGAAAGGGGGGGAUCUUCGGACCUCUCGCUAUGAGAUGAGCCCAAGCGGGAUUAGCUAGUUGGUGAGGUAAAGGCUCACCAAGGCUACGAUCCCUAGCUGGUCUGAGAGGAUGAUCAGCCACACUGGAACUGAGACACGGUCCAGACUCCUACGGGAGGCAGCAGUGGGGAAUAUUGGACAAUGGGCGAAAGCCUGAUCCAGCCAUGCCGCGUGUGUGAAGAAGGCCUUCGGGUUGUAAAGCACUUUAAGCGAGGAGGAAGGUUCGUUACUUAAUACGUAACGGAAUUGACGUUACUCGCAGAAUAAGCACCGGCUAACUCUGU
rnacentral:rRNA from 1 species